rnacentral:rRNA from 1 species
GAUGAACGCUAGCUACAGGCUUAACACAUGCAAGUCGAGGGGAAACGAUAGAGAAAGCUUGCUUUUUCUAGGCGUCGACCGGCGCACGGGUGAGUAACGCGUAUCCAAACCUGCCCAUCACUUGGGGAUAACCUUGCGAAAGUAAGACUAAUACCCAAUGACGUCUCUAGAAGACAUCUGAAGGAGAUUAAAGAUUUAUCGGUGUACGAUGGGGAUGCGUUCCAUUAGGUAGUAGGCGGGGUAACGGCCCACCUAGCCAACGAUGGAUAGGGGUUCUGAGAGGAAGGUCCCCCACAUUGGAACUGAGACACGGUCCAAACUCCUACGGGAGGCAGCAGUGAGGAAUAUUGGUCAAUGGACGAGAGUCUGAACCAGCCAAGUAGCGUGAAGGAUGAAGGUCCUACGGAUUGUAAACUUCUUUUAUAAGGGAAUAAACCCUCCCACGUGUGGGAGCUUGUAUGUACCUUAUGAAUAAGCAUCGGCUAACUCCGUG